CAUUCAUAAGGUUUGUCUCCAGUGUGUGUUCUUUCAUGUCUCGCUAAAUUACUUGGAUCUGGAAAUCUCUUGUUGCAAACAUCACAUUCAUAAGGUUUGUCUCCAGUAUGUGUUCUUUCAUGUCUCGCUAAAUUACUUGGAUCUGGAAAUCUCUUGUUGCAAACAUUACAUUCAUAAGGUUUGUCUCCAGUGUGUGUUCUUUCAUGUCUCGCUAAAUUACUUGGAUCUGGAAAUCUCUUGUUGCAAACAUCACAUUCAUAAGGUUUGUCUCCAGUAUGUGUUCUUUCAUGUCUCGCUAAAUUACUUGGAUCUGGAAAUCUCUUGUUGCAAACAUUACAUUCAUAAGGUUUGUCUCCAGUGUGUGUUCUUUCAUGUCUCGCUAAAUUACUUGGAUCUGGAAAUCUCUUGUUGCAAACAUCACAUUCAUAAGGUUUGUCUCCAGUAUGUGUUCUUUCAUGUCUCGCUAAAUUACUUGGAUCUGGAAAUCUCUUGUUGCAAACAUUACAUUCAUAAGGUUUGUCUCCAGUGUGUGUUCUUUCAUGUCUCGCUAAAUUACUUGGAUCUGGAAAUCUCUUGUUGCAAACAUCACAUUCAUAAGGUUUGUCUCCAGUAUGUGUUCUUUCAUGUCUCGCUAAAUUACUUGGAUCUGGAAAUCUCUUGUUGCAAACAUUACAUUCAUAAGGUUUGUCUCCAGUGUGUGUUCUUUCAUGUCUCGCUAAAUUACUUGGAUCUGGAAAUCUCUUGUUGCAAACAUCACAUUCAUAAGGUUUGUCUCCAGUAUGUGUUCUUCUAUGUGUCCUUAAAGUAUGCAUUUGAGUAAAUCUCUUGUUGCAAAUAUCACAUUCAUAAGGUUUGUCUCCAGUGUGUGUUCUUUCAUGUCUCACUAAAAUACUUGUAUCUGAAAAUCUCUUGUUGCAAACAGCACAUUCAUAAGGCGUGUCUCCAGACGUAUGUAUCCUUUUAUGUGUCCUUAAAUUAUGCAUUUGAGUAAAUCUCUUGUUGCAAACAUCACAUUCAUAAGGUUUGUCUCCAGUAUGUGUUCUUCUAUGUGUCCUCAAAGUAAACAUUCGAGCAAAUCUUUUGUUGCAAAUAUCACAUUCGUAAGGUUUGUCUCCAGUGUGUGUUUUUCUAUGUUUCCUUAAAGUAUAGAAUCGAGCAAAUCUUUUGUUGCAAACAUCACAUUCAUAAGGUCUGUCUCCAGUGUGUGUUCUUUCAUGUCUCGCUAAAUUACUUGGAUCUGGAAAUCCCUUGUUGCAAACAUCACAUCCAUAAGGCUUGUCUCCAGUAUGUAUAUUUCUUUUAUGUGUCCUUAAAUUGCUUAUUUGAGAAAAUAUCUUGUUGCAAACAUCACAUUCAUAAGGUUUGUCUCCAGUGUGUUUUCUUUCAUGCUUUACCAAAACGCUUCUGAAUGAAAAUAUCUUGUCACAGAACUCACAUUUCACAGGCAUGGCUUUUCUCUAACACCGUCGCUCAUGCGGCGAAACUUCGUUGAAAAAUGUCACCUAAUUGAACCCUUGAACCUUUGCUUUCUAAAACUUUAUAAUAUUUUUCUUAUAGCCGAGUUAUUUUGGCAUAAAAAACAGCAAAAUGUGGCAUACGGCAACAACGCACAUGGCCAACCG
rnacentral:lncRNA from 1 species